rnacentral:rRNA from 1 species
CCUACGGGGGGCAGCAGUAAGGGAUAUUGCGACAAUGGGCGAAAGCCUGACGCAGCAACGCCGAGUGUUGGAUGACGGCCUUCGGGUUGUAAACCACUUUUCUGGGGGAAGAGGAAGGACGGUACCCCAGGAAUAAGUCUCGGCUAACUACGUGCCAGCAGCCGCGGUAAAACGUAGGAGGCGAACGUUAUCCGGAUUUACUGGGUGUAAAGCGCGUGCAGGCGGUGGUGUAAGUCGUGUGUGAAAGCCCCAGGCUCAACCGGGC